UUUUUUUUUUUUUUUUUUUUUAAAAUACAGUCUAUGAUUUACGUUGAAUUAAGACCUGUAAGAUUUAUAAUCUGGUGGAUUUGCGGCUUGUGGGUAUGCUCGAUAUGAUUAUAUUAACGUGUGAAAGUAGUUGAUUUUGAUAAAAUUUGAGGCUUUUGUAUGGGGGUCGAGUAGGAUUUUUUUUCUUUUUUGAUAAUCGCGUGUACGAGCCAGUUUCUACGCACCUGACUAAUUUCGCGUGAUAUUUGCCAACUCCCACUAGCAACAGGUGAGAAAAAUCACUUAAUAUUUUUGUUUUUGUUGGGAUUUAAACCCGAGACCUAUGACUCUCAAGUCUCAAACACUUCAUUGACCACUAGGCUACACCCUUGGAUCGAGUAGGAUUAUCAGACUUACAUUUUCAAUUUGGACGUGAACUCAAUUAAAUUGGGUUUUUUAUUGUUUUUGUUAUUCAUGGAAUAUGGCUGAUUAUUUGAUGUUGAAUUCGAUUUCCAGCAGGCAUCUUAGGAUUAUUUCAAUUUUGUGAAAUUGGGGCUUCUUCAAUUACUUCCUUGCCUUGCCCCCCCCCCCCCUGGUUUUCUUGUUUGGGAAAACAGUGUACUAAUCCAACUGUGAAUAUUAACUUAUGAUUUUAUGAAAGAAAUAGUUUUUUCUCAAGUUACUUCCUCAGUCCCAACCUCCUUUUUUUCUUUUAGGAAAACGUGUGCUAUCUAAUCUUUUUAAAGAUGGAACAAUUAGAGAUUUAUAUUACAAAAACGUGAGAAAACACUGAGAAAACAACAAAUAUUGUUUGGUUUUGACUCAGAAGUUCAAAAUUGAGGGUAGCUAGGGGCAUUUGGGUGGGGAUGGGGUGGGGGGAGCUUUAAUUGAAGUAGUAGUGGAGCUCCUUUCCUUAUAUUUCUUCACGCCAAGAAAUCUAUCUUGGAAAGAAGUGUACUUAGUUCAGCUACAGAUGGCUAUCUUAUUGCUAUAUGAAAAUAUUGGGCUUUUUUUGCUUAUAAAGUGAUCAGGUAAAUAUGGGAUUUCUUUUCUUCUCAAAUUCCUUCUGCAGUUCAACCGUUUUUUUUUUAUUCUCCUUUUCAUUUGAACUUGUGCUCUUACUUCACAACGAGUGAACAAAUUGUUGUUUGAUGAAACGACUAAGUUAAAGUAGGAGUGGCUUUCCUUCUUUUUCAUUGAAAGGGUUAAAGUAUAUUGCAUGAUGAGAUUUCAAGAUAUUUAGCUGAUACCAUAGCUAUUAAAAGUUGCUGCUGUUCAAGAAAUCAAAUUGGAGAAUUAUGGUGGAUUUUGUCAGUGCAAAUGAUUUAAGUGAAUUAGUUGGGAAUUAAGUAUAUUUUGUAUGCUGUUUACUUAGAUCCAUAUGGAUGUGCGAGGAAUUCAAUGUUUUGUUAAGCUACAUAUCUUGGGUGGAGCAUUAAUCGCAGCCGUCGAUUUGAAUCAAAUGGUUGGCUUUGGUUGACUACUUACAUUUGUUCCAUCCAAGAAACAGUCACUUGUUUAUGUUGCUAUCAAGCUGUUCAUGUCCUAUCUUUCUCUCUACUGUUCUGGUGGUGAUGGUGGAGGUGUUAGUGAUAUUUGGUUAAGAGUUCUCCUGGAGCGAAGGCCAUGGGAGUCGUUUGAAGAAGAGUAGAACAAUUUCUUUAUUAAACUUCAGUCACAAUAUUAGUUUGGUAUUUUCUGGGAGAUGGAUAAAUGCAAUGGUUGUGGGAAACUGGGAAGGAUGGUGAGAGACAGGCUUGUGAGUGCUUACCAGGCUUCUCUUCCUCAUUCUCCUGCUGUUUCUGUUUGGGUUUGUAUUGUGCGCAAAAUAAGGUAUUCCUACAUAGCUGAGUGGGUGUAGGUGUAGUUAUAGUAUACUGGUUUCAUAAUAGCUUUCAUAUUUGGAAUUAUUAGUUUUCAUAAUAGUAUUAAUAACAGGAUAUAAAAGGAAAGAGAAAUAAUUAGUUGUAGAGAUAAUGUGCACCUCUUAAAGAAACUUGUCACUAACGGAAACUGGAGAAGGUCUAGGGGCAAUAGAUCUGAAAAUUUGCCGAUAAGAUGGAAUGUGCUAAAGCCUCGCCUGCUGUUAGAAAAGGGAAGAAGAAGAAUGUAAAGGAUGAGUUGGAUCGAAUUAAACAGGCUGAGAAAAAAAAGAGGCGCUUAGAGAAAGCCUUGGCUACUUCAGCUGCCAUUCGCUUUGAAUUGGAAAAGAAGAAACAGAAAAAGAAAGAAGAACAACAAAAGCUUGAUGAAGAGGGUGCUGCAAUCGCCGAGGCUGUUGCUCUGCAUGUCCUAGUAGGUGAAGAAUCGGAUGAUUCACGUGAGCUUUUGCUUAAGAAGGAUAAAGAAUCAAACCAAUGGGAUCUUGGUAGAAAUUCUUUUUCAUGGGUGGAGAAAGAGCCAUGCUUCCUCAUCAAGACUUCUCAGUAUAUUCAGUUGAAGGAACACAGUGGAUAUCUGGGCCCAACGGCGAUGGAUGCAUAUGGAAUGAGCAGGAAAAUACCUCGUGGAUGGUGUCUUCUGUACCUUUGGUAGGGAAUGAGCACCAUCAAUGGUUUGAUGUAGGGAAUUGGGAGGUUCAAAGAAUUUCUGCUGGCCUUCUUGCAGCGCAGGCUGUCUCAUCACUUCAGAUUGCAGGAGAUGCUCCAGUGACUCAUAUGUCUCUGAUAGGAUGCUGCGAUAGUGAAUUGGAAAACCUUAACGUCUAUCAUCCAGUUUGCAGUACCUUAUGAGAUGUUUUUUUUGUGGUUUUUGAAUAAUCCCUUGUAUAUAUUUCAAUUGAAAUGAAUGAAUGCGAGUUUGUUUGUGUUA